rnacentral:rRNA from 1 species
CGCGUAGGCGGCUUGGUCAGUCGGAUGUGAAAGCCCCGGGCUUAACCUGGGAAUUGCAUUCGAUACUGCCAGGCUGGAGUGUAGUAGAGGGAAGCGGAAUUCCGGGUGUAGCGGUGAAAUGCGUAGAGAUCCGGAGGAACAUCAGUGGCGAAGGCGGCUUCCUGGACUAACACUGACGCUGAGGUGCGAAAGCGUGGGGAGCAAACA